GACGAAGUAUCCCGAAGCCCCUCCGACGUCGAAUCGGUACUUUUCUCCAGGGGUAAGGGGUUUCGUGAUGUGAUCGGUAACUUUGUUUGACUUCAGUUCCGAGAAAUCCUAGAGUCGUCGACGGAGAGGAGUCUAGGUUCGUACGCUCGGAUCGAGAUGAUGUAGAUUCAACGGUCGUGAUCACUCUAUCACCUGCUUCUGGUAGGCUUCACGGUCCGCAAAUUCCAGUUCUUAAAAUAACCACGACAACCACCCAAAUAAACUUCCCCAAGACGGAACCAACGUCAUCAGAAAGACUCCUUUUUUUUAUUUUUUAUUUUUUGUGGACACCUGGGGAGGGAGCUACCUGGAUUUGUAUUGUUUUCUUCCAAUUUUUAUACAUCCAUCUCUCUCCAAUUGGAGUUUGGUUUGUUUGGGAUUGGGGGGCUAUCUGGUUCCAAAAGCCUUCCAGAGCUGCAAGGAUGGGUCAUCACCAUCACCACCACCACCACCAUGACCGUAAGAGUGAUCCCUUCUUGGCCUGCUGUUGCUGCCCCUGCUAUCUUGUUGCCUCUUUUUUAAGGGGGAUUGGGAGGUGCCUGUUUGUGACCUGCUACCCCUUCUUGCAGUGCUUUGGAUUGGAUGAAUGCCGGCAUCGCCACCACCAUCACCACCACAGUCAUUUUGGUUGAUUUUAUCUGGCAAUUUAGUCUAACCAGCCAUAGAUUUGUUACUAAGCUUUAAAUGCUCCAGAAGCUCGGUCUAAUGUUGUGAUCAGGCUUCUUGUGUGUUGAUGAAAUGGGAUCACAAGAGCUGUUAAUUUGGUCGAUAAUUCAAUAAGAAGUGAUUCAUGUUUCUUCUUCUGUUUUC